UAUAUAGAAAAUUUAACAAUAAAGUUUAUUUUAUUUUAAAUUAAAAGCCAUUAGUAUUACUAAAUAAUAUAUAAUAACAUAUAUGGUAAGUUAAUAAAUAUCAUAUAUGGUAAGUUACUACAUGUCUAAAUCUAGAAAAUUAUGCAAGAAUAUAUGCAAUCCAUAUAGUCUCUAUUAUAGAAAUAAAAGUUCAACUAAUCCUUUACUAGUAGUAAAGGUUUAGUUGAACAAUUAUUUCUAUAAUAUAGAUUAAAUGGAUUAUUCAUAGUCUUGUUUAACUUUACAUUUUAGACAUAUGACAUGUAGUAACAUACCAUAUUAGUUUAAAUCAGUCGUAAAAUUAAAAAUGUUAACAUCUUUGAUAGGUAUAUUUAUUUAGGUUAGUUACAGCUAAGUUUACAUGGCUAGUUAAUAUGCUUUUAUAAAUUGCAAUUUUUAUUAGUUUGCAAAUUAAACAUGUGGCAUCCAAUAUCCUAAACUAAGUUUACUGGUGUGUUUAUAUUUUUUUAGAUUUUUUUGUUUUAGACACAUGGCAUUUGUUAUCCCACUGUAAUUUAAAACUAGUUGUAAAAUUAAAAAAUUUUUAUUGAAAUUUCUAUUUCUUUUAACAUUCAUGUUUGUUUAAUUGAGUUACAACUAAGGUUAUAUAUAAGUUAUUUAUACUAUCUUAGAAUUUGCUGCUUUAGAGGCACGGCAUUUAGUGUCAUAUUGUAGGUUUAAAUUGGUUGUAGAAUUUAUAUUGUAACUUGCAUAUUUAUUUAGUUGAGUUUAAUCUAAGUUUAUAUCUGAUGUAUUUGUAUUAUUUUAGAAUUUACUGUUUUAGACACGUGGUAUGUGGUAUCCAAAUGUAAGUUUGAAUUAGUAAAUUAAAAAAAAAUUAUAUUUUAACUUGCAUUUUUUUUGACGUUCAUGUUUAUAUAAUUAGAUUACAACUAAGUUUGUGUAUGGUUUGUUUAUAUUAUUUCAGAAUUUGCUAUUUUAGACACUUGGUAUAAGCUGUCAUACUGUAAGUUUAAAUUGGUUGUAAAAUUCAUGUUGUAACUUGCAUUUCUAUUGGCGUGCAUAUUUAUUUAGUUGAGUUUCAACUAUAAAUAAUAAUAAUAAUAAGUUUAUAUCUGGCGUGUUAAUAUUAUUUUAGAGUUUGCUGUUUUAGACACGUGGCUUGUGAUAUCCCACUAUUUAGUUAUUUUAAUCAUGUGACAAGUGUUAUGACGCUGUAUUGAUGUAUGUGAAAUGUAUGGAGUCUUUCAGUUAUCAGAUAAUGUCAAGGAGUUGACAGCAUGGUGUCAGAUUUAAAGGGCAAACCUGUGUACGAGUAACAACAGAAUUCAAAACCAAAACCUAUUUAAACCUACCAAACCAAAACUAGCGACCAAAAACUAAAAUCUUGGCAUUGGUUUAUUUUAAACAUCUAUUAUAUAUAUAUGCGUGUUUUAUAUAAAUGUACUAGCUUGAGUA